rnacentral:rRNA from 1 species
AUGUAUGAAUAUGAUGGAUGCUUCCAUUGCCAACUGAUGAAAUGCAUGUCUCGUAUUUGCGCAACUGCUGCCUGGAUUCACCGCUGCCGCCUCCAGUCGCUUCCUCCUGGGCAUCCCGUCUCUAGCAAGGUAAAGCACAACCCUCUUGAUCCAACUAGGAACAUCAAAAUCAAAUGGGAUAUCAUUGAGUGGACUUCAGAUGGCCAUGCUGAUAAUCUGACACCUAAUAAGGACCAAGAGAACAACAGAGAUGCUAAGAGGCAACCUUUUGGGUUUAAGGAUAUAAACAACAUGGCUUACGAGGAUUUGGACUGCUGUUCUUUUAGUUCCACUCUUAAAUCUUUUGGUUCUUGA